rnacentral:rRNA from 1 species
GUUAAAAAAGCUCGUAGUUGAACCUUGGGCCUGGCUGGCCGGUCCGCCUCACCGCGUGUACUGGUCCGGCCGGGCCUUUCCCUCUGUGGAACCCCAUGCCCUUCACUGGGUGUGGCGGGGAAACAGGACUUUUACUUUGAAAAAAUUAGAGUGCUCCAGGCAGGCCUAUGCUCGAAUACAUUAGCAUGGAAUAAUGAAAUAGGACGUGCGGUUCUAUUUUGUUGGUUUCUAGGACCGCCGUAAUGAUUAAUAGGGACAGUCGGGGGCAUCAGUAUUCAAUUGUCAGAGGUGAAAUUCUUGGAUUUAUUGAAGACUAACUACUGCGAAAGCAUUUGCCAAGGAUGUUUUCAUUAAUCAGGAACGAAAGUUAGGGGAUCGAAGACGAUCAGAUACCGUCGUAGUCUUAACCAUAAACUAUGCCGACUAGGGAUCGGACGAUGUUAUUUUUUGACUCGUUCGGCACCUUACGAGAAAUCAAAGUGCUUGGGCUCCAGGGGGAGUAUGGUCGCAAGGCUGAAACUUAAAGAAAUUGACGGAAGGGCACCACCAGGGGUGGAGCCUGCGGCUUAAUUUGACUCAACACGGGGAAACUCACCAGGUCCAGACACAAUAAGGAUUGACAGAAUUGAGAGA